CCUACGGGCGGCCGCAGUGAGGAAUAUUGGUCAAUGGGCUUACGCCUGAACCAGCCAAGUCGCGUGAGGGAAGACUGCCCUAUGGGUUGUAAACCUCUUUUGUCAGGGAGCAACGCCGGCUACGUGUAGCCGGUUUGAGAGUACCUGAAGAAAAAGCAUCGGCUAACUCCGUGCCAGCAGCCGCGGUAAUACGGAGGAUGCGACCGUUAUCCGGAUUUUUUGGGUUUAAAGGGUGCGUAGGCGGAAUGCCAAGUCAGCGGUAAAAUCGCGGGGCUCAACCUCGCCCCGCCGUUGAAACUGGCGUUCUUGAGUGGGCGAGAAGUAUGCGGAAUGCGUGGUGUAGCGGUGAAAUGCAUAGAUAUCACGCAGAACUCCGAUUGCGAAGGCAGCAUACCGGCGCCCAACUGACGCUGAAGCACGAAAGCGUGGGUAUCGAACAGGAUUAGAUACCCCUGUAGUC
rnacentral:rRNA from 1 species